rnacentral:tRNA from 1 species
UCCCUGGUGGCCUAGCAAGAUAAGGGUCUGGCAUUGUGACUGCUGGGGCAUGGGUUCAAUCCCUAGCCUGGGAA